UGCUAAUCAUUCCCUGGCAGAAUGAGAUUAUCCACAAAGAUAAGUAUAACAGUAAAGUUCUUCUGAUUAUGAAUUUUAGUAAACAAGGAGUGACCAGAUUGUGAUUGAGCAUAUCCAAGAGAGGUGAGGAAGGAAGACGGGCAUGGCAAGCUAUAACUUGCUGACCUGAUUGAGACCAUAAAGAGACUUCAAGAGUCGGUAUAAACUUGGUUAAGAGCAUGAUGAGAAUAAAAGGGAGGAACCACCAUGUAGACCUUCUCAUCCAAUUCACCAUGGAUGAAUGUAUCGUUGACAUCCAAUUGAUGGAGAUGUCAAUAUUGGGUGGUUGCAAUGGCAAGAAGUAGAAAAAGUACACCGGUGAGAAAGUUCCCAUAAAGUCAAUACCUCCAAUCCAAGUGUAACACUCCGCAACAAGGCGAGCUUUAUAUCGUUCUAUGGGUCCACCAGACUUGUACUCAAUCUUGUAAACUCAUUUACAACUAAUGUGUUUCUUUCCAAAAGGGAGAAAUGUUAGCUCCCAAGUGUUGUCAUGUUCUUAGGCUUGCAAUUCAGCUUGUGGAUCCAAAUUUAAGCAAGACAGUUUUGAG
rnacentral:lncRNA from 1 species